AAAUUAAACUAGAGGCUCUAAAGAGCCUGUGUCGCUCACCUUGGUCAAUGUGAAUAUUAAACAAAGGAAGCAGAUGGAUUCAUGACAAAAUUGUGUUUUGGUGAUGGUGAUGUGUUUGUAGAUCUUACUUUACUGAACAUUCUUGCUGCUUACAAUUAUCUCUAUCUAUAAUGAACUUGGCCAAGUAGUUUCAGUGGAAAAUGUUAGUAAAAAUUUACAAAUUUUAUGAAAAUUGUUAAAAAUUGACUAUAAAGGACAAUAACUCCUUAGGGGUCAAUUGACCAUUUCAGUCAUGUUGACUUAUUUGUAAAUCUUACUUUGCUGUACAUUAUUGCUGUUUACAGUUUAUCUCUAUCUAUAAUAAUAUUCAAGAUUAUAACCCAAAACAGUAAAAUUUCCUUAAAAUUACCAAUUUAGGGGCAGCAACCCAACAACGGGUUGUCCGAUUCAUCUUAAAAUUUCCGGGCAGAUAGAUCUUGACCUGAUAAACAAUUUUACCCUUUGUCAGAUUUGCUCUUAAUGCUUUGGUUUUUGAGUUAUAAACCAAAAACUGCAUUUUACCCCUAUGUUCUAUUUUUAGCCAUGGCGGCCAUCUUGGUUAGAUGGCCGGGUCACCAGACACAUUUUUUAAACUAGAUACCCCAAAGAUGAUUGUGGCCAAGUUUGGAUUAAUUUGGCCCAGUAGUUUCAGAGGAGAAGAUUUUUGUAAAAGAUUACUAAGAUUUACGAAAAAAAUGGUUAAAAUUGACUAUAAAGGGCAAUAACUCCUAAAGGGGUCAACUGACCAUUUCGGUCAGUUUGACUUAUUUGUAAAUCUUACUUUGCUGAACAUUAUUGCUGUUUACAGUUUAUCUCUAUCUAUAAUAAUAUUAAAG
rnacentral:lncRNA from 1 species